GUCAGGUCCUAUCAGUCUGACAGACCUCCUAUUGGACCAGUGCAGGCUUUUUAAAGGUGCAGGCAGAAGCGCGCAGGAGAGUCGCUCUCCUCCACAGACGAGCCGCAGCUCUCCAGCUCUCCAUCCGGCAGAGGAGCAGCGGAGCCGGGCUGACAGUCGCCAGCCCUGACAGUGACGAGGAAGCAGCUCCGAGACUGACCUGAUAUAUCAACAGGUCACUGCAGAGCUCUUUAGCGAGAGGCAAAACGCUUCCUCGUCCACCUGCACACUGUGAGUAACCGUCAGCAUAUCGGCCAUCUGCCGCCUUGUUUCUCCCUACACGUUGCAUUGUGUUGUUUCUCUGAGCUGUUUGGAUUCGGCUACAUGCAUCGCUGUUUAUUUUCUGAGCGUGCGACCUUUUUUUUUUUUUUUUUGCACGCUCCUCCAUGUGUGAAGUCUGUUACGAGUCUGCGUGCAGGUGCAAAACCCGACGUGCCCCUACUGCCUCGUUAGGUGUACGACUUUAAUUGGACUGUGUGAUUUUGUGUUGUUUUUAUGUCUUUUUUUUCACGGUGUGUGUUUUUUGUUUAUUCCUGACUGUGUGUGUGUGUGCGGCGCACUUCUUCAAGCAUGUAUUUCUCAAGUUUGUGUGUGCGCCUGUAUGUAUGUGUGUCUUUAUAAUCCAAGGCCAUUCAAUAGCACCACGUGGAUCCAUCCCAUAUCCCGGUCGCCAUGGUUACCAGGGCCACUUAUCACAGAGGGUCCCGGCAGAUCAAACAGGUGUGCAUCCUGACUAUGUCUCUCCUCGACGACGGUUGCUAGGAACCUUUGUUGCAUGCAACAUACAGGUGCUUGUCACCACUGGCGAAAACCAGCAUGAGCGCAAAAACAUUGUCGUGAUGUCCUGGUCUGAACUGGUGAGUGUGUGUGUGUUUUUGCACUCGAUGUCCUUGUGAGAAACAGUGUGAGGUUCGAUUCUUCUGAGAGUUUUUUGUUUUUUUUGUCUGUCUUCACUUCAUGGAGCUGCUCCUGCAGGACCUGGUGCUUAGGUUAAAGUUUAAAAUCCAUCAAUGAAUGUUUGAGGAAAUUCAGUCUUGCACUUUCAUGAAAAAGGUGAAGAUUAUCCUGACUUCUGUUAGUCAACCCUGUUCCCAUGAUGCCAAUUUACUGAGUUUGAAAGGCAGGAUGUAACAACCCUGAUUGCAUCAUAUUAGUAUUAUUUAUAAAGAGCUAAAGGAAACAUUUGGACACAUUUAAUAAUUCUGGAAAGGAGAAGCAAAAAGCCCAACAAAAGUAUUGUUUGAUGCUGAUUGGUGCACAGAAAUACAUGACAUCACCCUUUUCCAACUAAGCCCUUCCCACUUUAAACAUGCAAUCUUAUUAGAUCAGCCAUCCGUCCAUACAUCCAUCCAUUUUGUGCCUCUUAUUUGGCUCCAGGUCGCAGAGGUAGCAGUGUAAGCAGCAAUGUGAGAGUAAUUUUAAAUAUACUGCUCAUAAAAUAAAUAAAGUCUAAUAAAUAAAUGAUGUAAUGGUCAGUGAAAACUAAAAUCAUCAAUCCGUUGAAGGCUGAGUUCAAGUGUUCCCUUAUUUAAACAUUUUUUGAGCCAUAAAUUAUUCCAAAUAUCGUUGUUAUAAAUGUUGAACUUCGGUUUAGGACUUCAGGACAGAAAUCCCACUUUAGGUGUGAAACCUGACUUCAGUUUGUACACAUCCGUAUUAGAGCUGCAGAUGUGAACACUUCCUCGUGCAGCUUUAAUACAAAUGUGUCUUUAGGGUUGGGGGAUGGAUGACGAGGAGGAAAUGUGAAAGGAAACAGAAUAAUGGGAAAAUGAAACGAAAGGACGCAGAAGAUUUGAGGAAAACUGCCUCAACAAGAAAAGAAUAACUGUGUCACGCUGUGAACUCAGCGAGGGCUUUUUGACUUGGACGCCCUGCCAUGUCCACCUCCCCUUCUCUGCCCCCCCGUGCCGCCAGACUACCACCGCCGCCCUUUCACCCUAAGCCCCGCUGUUUUCCACCUCCACCCUCCUCCACAUACAACACCUGUCCUCCUAUUCAUCCUACUGCCGACGUCUCCAUCCUCCAGCACCUACUUUAGCUUUGCAUCCUCUGGAGGCAUCCUGCUGUCGAUAUUCCCCUUCACGUCUCCUCCGCAAUCUAAUAAACAUGAAAGGCCAAACAUAAGCCCCCCCCAGAAAAAAAAUCCCUUUCUUCCUCUCCACUUAGCAUUAACACACAAGAGUAAAGCUAUUCCUGAUAUUAAAAUCAUCAUCAACUUUGGGUCUCUCACAGUUUGCUUCGCGCUUCGCUUCCUCCGAUAAUAUUCACGAGAUAAUUAGUAUUGACAGGAAGCACAUGGUCUUGUUCAGUCAGCUGUUGAGUCUACAAGUAUCCUCAUAAAUCCAAUUGACAAGUGGCUUGCAGUCUGAGCUGCCCCCCACCUCUUUGUGAGUUUCUGUGUGUGUACACAAUUACUGCAUGCAGACUGGAACUGAACUCACCUCGGGGGCAUUUACACCUGCAGUUGAUUUUGAUUUUGUCUGUUUAUGCCAUCAUUAAGUUUGGUGCCAGGUGAAUGAGGGAGACUUAAGUGAAGCGCGGAACAACACGCAGUCUUUUUUUAAAAGCCAGAUUUCUCUCGGUCUUCUUCUCUUGCGCCGCUUUCCUCCCACGUGCGCUUCACCUUUUCCAUAUGUCGCUCAUUUGAGCUUUAAUCCCCGCAUAGCACCUUUUCUUUCUCUCGCUCUCACUCCCCCGUUUUCUCUCCUCUCCCUUGCACCUCUCUUACACCACUUCCCUCACCUCUCCUCUCCUCAACAAGGCACCCCUCAUCCUCUCCUCCUCCCUGCCUCCUUUCCCUGCGUCUCCCCCGUUCUUUCCAUUUGCGGUCCUUCCACUAACCCAAUAACCUCGGCUCUCAAAGCUCCCCUCGCCUCUCCACCUCACCUUCCCUGCUGCUUUUCCAGCAACAACCAGCCUCCCCUCAAGCCACCUGCAUGCCGCCCCCACGUCUCUGGCUGCUUCUCCCCCUGCGGCGAGCCCCCAUCUCAGGCCGCGGUGUACAGGAUGCUCCCUCGGUGAGAGGUCAGUGGUCUGGCUGUUUUUCUCUGUUCUCCCCCUCAGCGUUUCUCCAGCCAUGACUGCAGAUCACACAGUCUUUCAUUCACUCUUGAAUAGCCUGCCAAAGGGUUACAUAUAUAUUUAUACGUCCAAUAUUCUUUUCACAAAUACAGUUUAGCUAAUAAUAUUUUAGAAAGCUAUUUGAUGCUGUAUUUUAUAGUCAGUGGUAAGUGCCAUCUCCUUGGGGAUGAGGUGAUUUUAUAGCCACCCUGAUGUGAAUUAUUAUAAUUAACUAGAGAAAAGAUCUUACAGUUUAAAUCACAAAUUUUAAAUAUAGCAAAGUAAAGACAAGAACUUAAACCUACAACUUAGCCAACGAAACAAAAAUGAGCUUCUACAUUCUAAUCGUCGUUCGCUGCGAUUGCCAUGAAACAGGAGACGUAGCCUGAACUGAUGCAUUCGCGUUUCUGUCUGUCCUAUAGGGCUGAUUAAUUGUAAACCAAUUUAAACACUGUUUUCCGUUGCAAAGAGAUGAGAAUUACCUGAAGCACAAAAAAAAGAAGAGAGAGACCUAAUUGCUGAACCUGCUAAUUUAACAUUCAUUUGUUUAAAUGUUCUUUGGCAAAAUUUAUCUCUCUAUAUAAAUUAUCUUCAGAAUUGCAAAUCAUAAUGUAUGCUGGUGGACAACGGACGGAGAAAUCUGUUCUGUCACCGAGCGAAUAAUGAAAAUGUGUCAUCUUGGACGAGGACGGCAGACGCACGGCGCUCUUCAGAGAAUUCCAUUUUCUAAUUCUCUGACAGACGCAGAGGGGGAGCUGAGCACAUGUAACUCCCCCUCACAUACACCAAUUACCGCAAUGAGCAAAUGAAAGGCUGUGUCCCAUCAGGGCCGCCGUAGGGGGUAGAGAGAAAGAGAGGGAGAGGGAAUGCAUGGAGGGAGGGGGGAGUAAUACAUAAUUGCCCCCCCCCCCCUGCACAUACACGCACAGACACACAUACAUCACCAACAAUCAUUGUCUGGUGUCUGUGUUGUCGAUAAUCCCACAGUUGUCUGUUACGGCAGAUCGGCCCUCCCCGCUCGCACACGCUCUUCUUGUUUUUUUACAUUUUUUUUUAUAUUUCUGUCUCCAUUUCUUGUCUGCGUUUCUCCAUCAUGCCAUUUUACCCACUCCACAGAUCCCUCCGUCUCCCCACCUCCUCCUCAUCAACUGUCACCAUGCUCAGUGACAUUUUGCCUGCCUUAGUUUUUACAAAAUAGCAGUCAAAAUAUGUAGAGACAGUCUGCAGGGUCAAUCAGUAUUAUCUGAAGCUUCACAACACCCCAAUGAAAGACAGUGAUUGACUGACUGAAGCUUAAUUACUGUUAGUGCCAGUAUCAGGCUUUAAAAAUGCGUUUCAACACUCAUUUUCAAGUACACGUUCCCGCUGCAGAGAGCAGGCAGACUCCUGAGCUGAAGGCAGCGAAAUCAAACUUAAGAUCCGAACCUUUGUGUCUAAUUUGCAGACGCUCUGCAUGAGCCUCUGGUGUGCUAGAACUUAAACCUAACUGUAAAUCUGAGAAGUGUGAAGCCUACCUGACUGCAUGUUCUCACUGUGCUUGGCUGCAGCUCAGUGCCUCAGCAGGCUAAUUGAAGUCAACCACAGGGCACUGCUAAUGAUCAGCCCACAGCGACCCUCGAUCGUCUGUCAUCUUUCUGUCUGCAGCCCUGCGUGGUAUUUAGAGACAUCCUGAAGCUUGGCAGGAAAUGAGAGAAAGGCAAAAAAGCAGGGUAGAAAAUAAAGAGAGAAAAGACAAGGGAGAGGUGGUGUCGGUGGUGUGGACAAAUGACCCAGGUGAUGAAAUGACCAUCACGCUGCGUAGGAAGUAUCCACGUCCGCCUCUGCUCACUUCCGCUCAGUGGCCAAUAUCCCUCCUCCCCCCUCCUGAGCUCCCCGUGGCUCCAAAUUCACUAACACAAAAUCGAUACGAGCAGGUGGAGCAGGAGGUGGGAGGACAGGAACUGUGGAUGAGGUGAGAGGAGCAGGAGGAGGGGUGCAAUGAGAAGAGGAGUGCGAAGAAAAAGGAGAGAAGGUAGAAAAAAUUAAGGCAAAGGAAGAGAAAGAACAAAGAAGGAGAGGAGGAGAUGGAAGGAAAGGAGAUCAGGCAAAGGAAGGGGAAAAGGGGGGAUCAGAGUGAAAGGGCAGAAGAUGAGAGGAAAGACAAGAAUGAAAUCGGAAGAGGAAAUUGAAUUGAAGGAAAAACAGGAGAGAGGAGGAAAUAAAAUUAAACAAAGUAGGUGAACGCAGCACAAAAAGAGAAGAGCAGCAGAUACAGGAAGGUAAGAAUGGACAGUAAAAAGAAAAAGAAGAGAGAAAAUGAAAAAGACAAGUGGUGGGAGAAAGGGAAGGAAAAGUGAAAAUUAGAGAUAAAAGAAAGAAAAAUGAGGGAAGCAGUAGUAGAAAGGGAAGUUAAAAGGAAUGGAAGAGUUAAAGAAACUGAAAAAAGAUGGUGAGCAGGUGUUAUAA